UGAUGCCCAGCUUGCUGGGUGGAUUAGUGGCGAACGGGUGAGUAACACGUGAGUAACCUGCCCUUGACUUCGGGAUAACUCCGGGAAACCGGGGCUAAUACCGGAUAUGAGCUACCUUCGCAUGGGGGUGGUUGGAAAGUUUUUCGGUCAAGGAUGGGCUCGCGGCCUAUCAGCUUGUUGGUGGGGUGAUGGCCUACCAAGGCGACGACGGGUAGCCGGCCUGAGAGGGCGACCGGCCACACUGGGACUGAGACACGGCCCAGACUCCUACGGGAGGCAGCAGUGGGGAAUAUUGCACAAUGGGCGAAAGCCUGAUGCAGCGACGCCGCGUGAGGGAUGAAGGCCUUCGGGUUGUAAACCUCUUUCAGCAGGGAAGAAGCGCAAGUGACGGUACCUGCAGAAGAAGCGCCGGCUAACUACGUGCCAGCAGCCGCGGUAAUACGUAGGGCGCAAGCGUUGUCCGGAAUUAUUGGGCGUAAAGAGCUCGUAGGCGGUUUGUCGCGUCUGGUGUGAAAACUCGAGGCUCAACCUCGAGCUUGCAUCGGGUACGGGCAGACUAGAGUGCGGUAGGGGAGACUGGAAUUCCUGGUGUAGCGGUGGAAUGCGCAGAUAUCAGGAGGAACACCGAUGGCGAAGGCAGGUCUCUGGGCCGCAACUGACGCUGAGGAGCGAAAGCAUGGGGAGCGAACAGGAUUAGAUACCCUGGUAGUCCAUGCCGUA
rnacentral:rRNA from 1 species